CCAAAUGCCCCUAUGCAGGCUGAUUAUCUUAAUAUUUGUAAGCAUAAAUAAUAGAAAAACAUUGAUCCUGUUGCAUAUUAAAAUAUCAGAUGCAAAACCCUCUAAGAAAUCCUCAGUCAACCUACGUUACUCAAAUAAUUUUGCUUCAAACCCCACUAAAUAACACACUCUGGGCUCUGAAAAUACAUGGAGGAUUCAGAUAAAAUUACUCGUUUAAGAAAAUUGUUCCAAUUAACAACAACAGCACCGACCACACUUACCUAAAAACAGCCGUUGAAGAAGAGACGAGAAGAAUCCUGGGCGGGAAUAUAGUUUUCGAAUCCAAAGUAUCCCGUGAACCUGACUCAAAUCAACCAAUCAGAUGACGCGAGAAGCUGUCGUGAUCAUGUAAAUCGCGCCAAAACAAUUAACCAGCCAAUGGAUGAACUGAUCCAGAUGCAAACUGGUUGAAAACUUGGUGGGAGGAGUCGGAGUUCUGCGCACGCGCAUAGACUGCACAUUUGAUUUAAUUGCCAACUGCCACCGAUUCGUCUGAGGUUGUGUCUGAACAUCCCCUUUAUCAGAGUGUUCUGGUGCACUUGCUUUGCAUGCCGUGCUUGUCCUGUACCACUGUAGGUCUUUUUUUUCUGUGAGACCCAGCUGAAGAUAUCAAGAGCUCAGAUGUUGGCCUACAGUUCAUUACACUGACUUCUUUGAUGUUCCCUGAAAGACUGACUACUACCAUUUCAUUAAGCUAAACCGAGAACCUGUGACAGUUUGUGGAGUUUGAAUUUAAAGUCACACAUGUCUAUCAAUAAAUUGGAUGUUUUGUCAUGAGCUGCUGUUUUCUAUUUGUCUUUCACAACAUCACUUUUACCUUUUCAAAGUCUUGCAGUUUGUGUUUACAUUGUGUUAGCAUAUUUUUUUACUGGCUCAAUGUUUGUUUUACAAAGUAAAACAUUUUUUUGCUAUUAAACAUAUUUUUGUGGGCGUAUUAUUCAUUGUUAUGUGUAUUUCACAAAUAUACUUAUAUAUUUGCUAUUUAUAUAUUUGCUCCAAAAUUAGAUUUAUUUUCAAGUGUUGGUUUAUUUUGAUUUAGGCCAUAAAACUAAAAAGUACAAUAAAAUGUGAAAACAUAAUAAAAACUUUUCUCUUUAUUUAAAUCGUUAACUCAUUUUGAAAUUAUUUUGAUUAUGAUAUUUCACUUCACUGAUACCUUAUUAACCUAUUCUGUAACUGAUACCUUAAAUAUAGCUCAGCACACUGCUAUACUGCAAGCUUGUUCCCUGCUGAAAAACAAUAGAACCUAAAAAAAUUCUUAAGGUUUCCAUUAAAAUACCAUCAUGAACCAAUAGCCUUUUCUAUUAAAACCACAAUCUAUGUAACCUACGAAAAUAAUUAGUUGUAUGACAAAGCAUUAAAUAGACAAAAAUAUGUGCAAGUGUUUUUUAAGGCCAGGUUACUUUAAAAAAGAAUCAGCCUGAAGUACUUUUAAUAGACAGAGUGCUGCUUUACUUGAUAUUUCAACAUUUUAGUAGAACAGGCUGAGCGGAGUUAACCAAAUCUGCCUGUAACCUGUUGCCAAAAUGUACAAGGUAAAACAUGUUUAAAUGUAACCGUGCAAUAAUUGUGAAUUACACAAUGUCAAA